UAUCUCUGUAGAGUCUGCAUAUCAAUAAGCGGAGGAAAAGAAACUAACUAGGAUUCCCUCAGUAACGGCGAGUGAAGCGGGAAGAGCUCAAAUUUGAAAUCUUCAAGGUUCUACCUUGACGAAUUGUAGUUUAAAGAAGUGUUUUCUGUUGGAGUUUUGGUAAAAGUUCUUUGGAAUAGGACAUCAUAGAGGGUGAGAAUCCCGUAUUUGACCAUUAUUUCCAGCUUUGUGAUACACUUUCAAAGAGUCGGAUUGUUUGGGAAUGCAGUCCAAAAUGGGUGGUAAAUUUCAUCUAAAGCUAAAUAUUGGCGAGAGACCGAUAGCGAACAAGUACCGUGAGGGAAAGAUGAAAAGAACUUUGAAAAGAGAGUUAAACAGUACGUGAAAUUGUCAAAAGGGAAGCGUUUAACACCAGUGUUGUUUUCUCGAAAAUCAAUUAAAAAAGGCAGGAUUUUGUGUUGUAUUGACUUUAUCAGCUUUCUGCACUCUUUUCUUGUCUUUUUUAAUGCACUUUUCGUUUAACAAGUCAACAUCAAUUUCUUUUGUUGUAAAAGGGUCAUUGGAAGGUGGCUUUCUUUUCGGAGAAAGUGUUUAUAGCCUUUGGCCUCUGCAAUCGGAGAGAUUGAGGUCUGCAGCGUAGAUCCUUCGGGGUUAGAUACAUUUGUGCUAAGUUAUAGCCUUUCAUAGACAACUUGUUGACUAUGAUCAGUCAUGUAGCUUACUCGCUUAUGCUAUUUUACCUACGCUUAGGAUGUUGACGAUCAGCUGAGCGCG
rnacentral:rRNA from 1 species